CCUACGGGAGGCAGCAGUGGGGAAUAUUGCACAAUGGGCGCAAGCCUGAUGCAGCCAUGCCGCGUGUGUGAAGAAGGCCUUCGGGUUGUGAAGCACUUUCAGCGGGGAGGAAGGCGGUGAGGUUAAUAACCUCAUCGAUUGACGUUACCCGCAGAAGAAGCACCGGCUAACUCCGUGCCAGCAGCCGCGGUAAUACGGAGGGUGCAAGCGUUAAUCGGAAUUACUGGGCGUAAAGCGCACGCAGGCGGUCUGUCAAGUCGGAUGUGAAAUCCCCGGGCUCAACCUGGGAACUGCAUUCGAAACUGGCAGGCUAGAGUCUUGUAGAGGGGGGUAGAAUUCCAGGUGUAGCGGCGAAAUGCGUAGAGAUCUGGAGGAAUACCGGUGGCGAAGGCGGCCCCCUGGACAAAGACUGACGCUCAGGUGCGAAAGCGUGGGGAGCAAACAGGAUUAGAUACCCUUGUAGUC
rnacentral:rRNA from 1 species